rnacentral:rRNA from 1 species
ACUCCUACGGGAGGCAGCAGUGGGGAAUAUUGCACAAUGGGCGCAAGCCUGAUGCAGCCAUGCCGCGUGUAUGAAGAAGGCCUCGGUUGUAAAGUACUUCUAGCAGUGAGGAAGGCGGGUACGGUUAAUAAGCGUGCUCGUUUGUACGUUAGCUGCAGAAGAAAGCACCGGCUAACUCCGUGCCAGCAGCCGCGGUAAUACGGAGGGUGCGAGCGUUAAUCGGAAUUACUGGGCGUAAAGCGCAUGCAGGUGGUUUGUUAAGUUCAGAUGUGAAAGCCCGGGGGCUCAACCUCGGAAUUGCAUUUGAAACUGGCAGACUAGAGUACUGUAGAGGGGGUAGGAAUUUCAGGUGUAGCGGUGAAAUGCGUAGAGAUCUGAAGGAAUACCGGUGGCGAAGGCGGCCCCCUGGACCAGAUACUGACACUCAGAUGCGAAAGCGUGGGGAGCAAACAGGAUUAGAUACCCUGGUAGCACAGAG